rnacentral:ncRNA from 1 species
AAACUCGGUUCCUGCAAUGGGCUCCAUAAGAAGAAACUCUUAUGGGACCACCUGCCAAAGUCGGGGAAGCCUCAGGCGGGGUAAUCCCGAGCCAAGCUCCAGAAAUGGAGAAGGUGUAGAGACUGGAUGGCAGGCACCCUAACGUACCCAGUCGAGGGUGAAGGGACAGUCCAGACCCCAAACUGCG